AGAUGACGUACCGGGGCGUCAGGCUCUUGUUGACUGGAGAGAGCAUGUGGGUCUCUGGCUCAAUGUCAGGGGCGCGAACCCCGGCCAGGCUGCUGCGGACUGUGCUCCCAGCUUCGGGCCGCCAUGGGCCUGCCGCCUCCUCCUACUCCGCAUCCGCCGAGCCCUCCCGGGUCCGGGCGCUCGUCUAUGGGCACCACGGGGAUCCAGCCAAGGUCGUCGAACUGAAGAACCUGGAGCUAGCUGCUGUGGGAGGAUCAGACGUCCGUGUGAAGAUGCUGGCGGCCCCUAUCAAUCCAUCUGACAUAAAUAUGAUCCAAGGAAACUACGGCCUCCUUCCCAAACUGCCUGCUGUUGGAGGGAACGAAGGUGUUGGACAGGUGGUGGCAGUGGGCAGCAAUGUAACUAGGUUGAAGCCAGGAGACUGGGUGAUCCCAGCAAAUGCCGGUUUGGGAACCUGGCGGACUGAGGCUGUGUUCAGCGAGGAAGCACUGAUUGGAGUUCCAAGUGACAUCCCUCUUCAGAGUGCUGCUACCCUGGGCGUUAAUCCCUGCACGGCCUAUAGGAUGUUGGUGGACUUCGAGCAGCUGCAGCCAGGGGAUUCUGUCAUCCAGAAUGCAUCCAACAGUGGAGUGGGACAAGCAGUCAUCCAGAUCGCUGCAGCCUUGGGCCUGCGAACUAUCAACGUGGUCCGAGACAGACCUGACAUCCAGAAACUGACCGACAGACUGAAGAGUCUAGGGGCUGAGCACGUCAUCACAGAGGAGGAGCUAAGAAGGCCUGAAAUGAAAAACAUCUUUAAGGAUGUGCCCCAGCCACGGCUUGCUCUCAACUGUGUUGGCGGGAAGAGCUCCACAGAGCUGCUGCGGCACUUAGCGCCUGGAGGAACCAUGGUGACCUAUGGGGGGAUGGCCAAGCAGCCCGUCGUAGCCUCUGUGAGCCUGCUCAUUUUUAAGGAUCUCAAACUUCGGGGCUUUUGGCUGUCCCAGUGGAAGAAGAACCACAGUUCAGGGGGGAUUGCUACUGGCAUGUAAUGGGCAGAAGUCAGCGACACUAUUAAACAUCCUACAGUGCACAGAACAGCCUCCCACAACAAAGAAGUAUCCAGCCCAAGUGCCACUGCCACAAAACUGCAUUGAACAGUCCUACAUCGAUUACCUGGUGAUUAGCGCUGUAAAGAAGACAUGUCGGAGGUACUAUGAGAGUGUAACUUAGGUCUCGUUCUAGGCCUGGGGUCGGGAAAGGCUUCCUUGAAGGUGAACCCUGACUAAUGAGUGGGCUUUAUUCAGGCAGAGAGAAGAAUUUGACAUUAUGUGACUUUUUGGUGUUUGCUUCAUGAUCCACUUGCCCAAAGCAAAGAACAGAGACUUUGGGAUAUCGCCCUUGUUACCUGGCCCUCGUUGAGGGAGUACUUAUUGAGUGCCUGAAGCUGUGAUUGCCAAUGAAAGAUACGCUGCUGCCCUCGAGUUGCUUAGCCUAGUGCAAGAGACAGACAUCACUGCAGACAGUGCAAUGAUGAGGUCGCUGAUACCGAGGUGUUCGGAGGGCUGUGGCAGGACCCGGGCCCCAGCUCUGCCUGAGGGUGUCAAGGAAGGAUUCCCAGAGGAAGCAUUAUCCACAGCAAAUUCUGGAAACCAAGCAGGAAAAUGCGUCCCAACAAAGCCAACAACAGUGAGAGAGUUUGGAGGCGAGUGCAGCUGCUCCCUGAGACAUGGCAGGAAUGCGAGAACUGAGAAGAUUGUUUUUAAUUUUAAGACUCAAUAGUCUCUGUGGAGUUGGAACAGCUCUUCUGGCCCAUUAAGUAAACAACAUCAUUUUUAAAUGGCUAAAGGAAGAACCCUUGGCUCCAGGAAAUUAAAAGAAGACAAAGAGGCAUAACCUCCUAAAUCAAACCUUGAGCACACCUGAAGUCCUGAGGCUUCAUGACUCUGCUCCCUCUCUUCUAGCACCACCCACCUUGUGACUACCUAGAGCCACUGCCAUAAUAUUGACGAAUGUCUUAUGUCUUGGGAGAUCAGGUAAUUAAGCCCGAUUUCCUCAGGGGAAGACAAGCCCAGAAGAAAAAAGUUCUUACAUUAACCUGUGUGUGCCAGGCAUUGCUGUCCUUGCGCAUAGAAACUCAAAGCAACACCUGCCGGCUCCAUGCUUAGUGGCAGCUGCCAUGGACACUGGGUCCAGCCACAGCAGCUAAAAAUGGUGCAGAAGAGAGGCUCGGUCCUGACACAGCAUCUGCCUGCAUCUGGAGGCAGGAACAUUCCUGGGAAGACAGCAGGGCUAGCCUAAAGGUAAGAAGGAGACAUUGGCACCUUCUGAAAGGGAAGAAAGAGGCCUGCCUUAUGCCCAUAACUUUUCACAGUAUACGAGCACUUCCAUACAUGCAUCUUCAUUUGAUUUUCAUACCUUUCCCAUAUCAUUGAGAUGUUAGUUAUCACCACUUUACAAAAGCAACAGCUGCUGAGAGAGGUGAAAUGAGUUGUUCCAGAUCACACAGUAGUUGGCAGAGCUGGCUUUAGAACCUAGGUCCCCUGGCCCUGUCUGGUCACCAAACCAGACAGUCCCAAUUCUUCUGGCCCCACAGUUGGCCUUGGAGCUCCCUUUAUCCUCAGGACUUCUUGAUAUUGUUCUUGACAUGUGAACUGUCAUUGACAUGUCAACAGGAAGAGUUCAAAUUUCCCUGAGUCUCAAAAAAAAAAAAGGAGAAUCAAGAGGCCAUUGAAGUAAUCCAGGUAAGAGAUCAUUCAUUUAUUCAUUCAAUAAAUAUUUUAAACACUCAUUAUGUGAAAGGCACUGUUGUAGGUAUUAGGGAUACAGCAAGAGACAAAAAAUAUGGCCCCUGUUACCAGCACAAUUACAUUCUAGUGGAGGAGAAAGACAAUAAACAAGGUAAUCACAGACGAUAUAGUGAGUGCUAUGAAAUAUCAUAAUGACAGAAGCUAUUUGAGAUAAGGUGGGCAAAGAAAGCCUGAGGUCUGAAUAAGAAGGAGACAGCCUGAGUCAAGACUGGUGAAUGAAAAGAAAAUAAAAGAAAGAGCCAGCCAUAUUCCAAGCAGAGGAGGCAGCACAUACAAAAGCCCUGAUGUAUCUAUCAAUAGUAUGCGGCCUCAACUAGGUCAAGAAAUGGGAAUGGAGAGAAGUGGCUGAAUUUAUGAAUAUUUAGAAGGAAGAAUCCAAAGAACAGACUCAAUGUGGUGGUUGCAGGUUGAACUUUGGCACCUUGCUGGAUGGAGGUGCCACUCCCUGAGUUAGGGAAUUCAGGAAGAGGAAGCAGAUUUUGGAGACAGGCAUUUCCCCUCUGUGAGGCUCUUCUUCUCAUCUGUAUAAUAGGUUGAUCAGACCGUAACAACCAAGGUUAAUUCUAAUUCUUAAGAAUGUUAUCAUCCUCAGACUUUGUUGAAUUCCAAAUGGAUUAAAGAUUGCAAUAGGGAGUGUAUAUUCAGGGCAACUUCAUGCUAUGCUCCUGGGUGGCCAUUCUCAAGCUUUGAGCUCCACUAAACUCUGUACUUAUUCACUUAAAAAAAAGAUUACAAUAUAAAAAUAAGCCUUAAAAGCAACAGAAUAAACCAUGGGAGAUGUUUUCUUUAAAGCUGAGUAAGGGGCUGGGUGUGUUGGCUCACAUCUGUAAUCCUAGCACUUUGAGAGACUAAAGCAGGAGGACUGCUUUAGGCUAGGAGUUCAAGA